AUUGAACGCUGGCGGCAGGCCUAACACAUGCAAGUCGAACGAGUGGCGGACGGGUGAGUAAUGUCUGGGAAACUGCCUGAUGGAGGGGGAUAACUACUGGAAACGGUAGCUAAUACCGCAUACCAUCGGAUGUGCCCAGAUGGGAUUAGCUAGUCGGUGGGGUAACGGCUCACCUAGGCGACGAUCCCUAGCUGGUCUGAGAGGAUGACCAGCAACACUGGAACUGAGACACGGCCCAGACUCCUACGGGAGGCAGCAGUGGGGAAUAUUGUAAAAUGGGCGAAAGCCUGAUGCAGCCAUGCCGCGUGUAUGAAGAAGGCCUUCGGGUUGUAAAGUACUUUAAGCGGGGAGGCGGUAUCCGCAGAAGAAGCACCGGCUAACUACGUGCCAGCAGCCGCGGUAAUAC
rnacentral:rRNA from 1 species